GAUGAAGAACGCAGCGAAAUGCGAUAAGUAGUGUGAAUUGCAGAAUUCAGUGAAUCAUCGAAUGUUUGAACGCACAUUGCGCCCUUUGGUAUUCCAAAGGGCAUGCCUGUUCGAGCGUCAUUUGUACCCUCAAGCCUUGCUUGGUGUUGGGCGUCUUGUCUCUAGCUUUGCUGGAGACUCGCCUUAAAGUAAUUGGCAGCCGGCCUACUGGUUUCGGAGCGCAGCACAAGUCGCACUCUCUAUCAGCAAAGGUCUAGCAUCCAUUAAGCCUUUUUUUUCAACUUUUGACCUCGGAUCAGGUAGGGAUACCCGCUGAACUUAAGCAUAUCAAUAAGCGGAGGA
rnacentral:misc_RNA from 1 species